GAGCAGGAAAUAUAAAAAUCCUAAAAAGAUCUUCAAUAACAAUCCGUAUAAAACCAAAACCGUACUAUUUGAGGGACGACUAAUAUGUUUUGACCGUCUGGAUCCUUUGAUUUUAUACAGCUUUUCCGAGUCUGCUAAACAUAAAUAAUGCUGCAACUAUUCUCCUUCACCCGUCCGCUGCGAUUGGCACGGAUUUCACCUUCACUAGUAGCCUGGUAACAUAUAGUCCCAGGUCUUUCUCUGCCUCUGUGGUGGAUAGUGGAGUGUUUCCCAUGUGGUAUUGGUGUGCUGGAUAUCCCUUCACUGGUAGCCUGGUAACAUAUAGUCCCAGGUCUUUCUCUGUCUCUGUGGUGGAUAGUGGAGUGUUUCCCAUGUGGUAUUGGUAUGCUGGAUAUCCCUUCACUGGUAGCCUGGUAACAUAUAGUCCCAGGUCUUUCUCUGCCUCUGUGGUGGAUAGUGGAGUGUUUCCCAUGUGGUAUUGGUGUGCUGGAUAUCCCUUCACUGGUAGCCUGGUAACAUAUAGUCCCAGGUCUUUCUCUGCCUCUGUGGUGGAUAGUGGAGUGUUUCCCAUAUGGUAUUGGUAUGCUGGAUAUCCCUUCACUGGUAGCCUGGUAACAUAUAGUCCCAGGUCUUUCUCUGCCUCUGUGGUGGAUAGUG